CCUACGGGGGGCAGCAGUGGGGAAUAUUGCACAAUGGGGGAAACCCUGAUGCAGCGACGCCGCGUGAGUGAAGAAGUAAUUCGUUAUGUAAAGCUCUAUCAGCAGGGAAGAAAAUGACGGUACCUGAGUAAGAAGCCCCGGCUAACUACGUGCCAGCAGCCGCGGUAAUACGUAGGGGGCAAGCGUUAUCCGGAUUUACUGGGUGUAAAGGGAGCGUAGACGGCAGUGCAAGUCUGGAGUGAAAGGCGGGGGCGCAACCCCCGGACUGAUCGGGAAACUGUACGGCGGGAGUGCAGGAGAGGUAAGUGAAAUUCAGAGGGUAGGGGGGAAUGGCGGAGAUAUUAGGAGGAACACCAGUGGCGAAGGCGGCUUACGGGAUUGUAACUGACGUGGAGGCUCGAAAGCGUGGGGAGCAAACAGGAUGAGAUACCCCAGUAGUC
rnacentral:rRNA from 1 species